CGUUUCGAGUUUUUCCCCCCCUCCGUUUUCUUUCCUCGCUGGAUGAAGACAUAGAGGAGGGACGGUAACUGCCAGAGCGGAUAGAGUUUUCGCCGGGCUUUUAACUACAGAGUCUCCAACCUCACAGACCCUCUGUACCAACGUAUGGGCCCCAACGACAGUCUAAGCGCUACCGAUAUAAAUGUAAAUGGUUUGGCGAACAGAGAAUCCAGCCAGUCCAACAUCAUCAGCUGGGAGCUCAGGAUCCUGUCUAAUUCCAAGGCCAUUUGAACAACUAUGCAGCCCCCACCAUGGCCCCCAUAGUCACCAAAAUCCCCACGAUCACCCCAAUCACCACUGUGUUUCCUCCUGAAGACGCCCCUGCAGAAAGCAGAGAGAUCAGUUAGUGUCCAGGCACAUUUUCACACAGACACUCGAUCCUCAGUCAGUGUAAAAUGUCACUGAAGCAGCCAGUAGAGCCGCAUCACCGAGCCGACAGCCCGACCCAGAGCAGCUUUCUGUCUGACCCCUUUCUGCAACUGUUACGGAUCCUCCUCAGGGGCACAACAGCAGAUCCACACCCUUAAGCACCAUGUCCACUAGACCCUGAACAGCCAGUCUGAAAAAGUUAGUCACUCAAAAAAUGCUAGAUGCUAAUAGUGCAGGAAGGCCAGGCUGUGAGGAGUGUGUAUCUGCUGUGAGCUGCAUCGGCACCGCGCUCCCAUUCUGCAGAAUGACAUAGGAAUCACACUGGGGCAGAAGUAUGUUUAUCACACAGGGUAUAAACUCACCUGGAGGAUCUUCUCUCUCUCUGUAUGGCCUGCAAACAGGAUCUGAUCCAGGAGGGAAAAGAGAAACUAAUCAGCAGAUCCUGUGAGAAUUCUGACUGUUUAUUCCUGUUUGUACCAAACCCUGUCAUACAGCCAUCAUCUCUGAUCACUAGCAAUGAGUUUGUAUGCUGCACUCACACGUACAUUAGGGAGCCUGCAACAUCCCAUCAUAUUCAUAUCGCUUAAUCAGCAUGUGUGCUACGCUCUUAGUCACAGUGCCACUGAGUGCGUCGUCAUGGACACAGAUAAAACACAGACGGAAACCUAAGCUGGGGAGUCAGCCUUUCCAUUAAAUAAACCUACA